AAGAACAAAAUACCUAGGUAUACAGCUAACUAGGGCGGUGAAAGAUCUCCACAAGGAGAACUACAAAAUACUGCUCAAGGAAAUCAGAAAUGACACAAACAAAUGGAAAAACAUUCCAUGCACAUGGAUAGGAAGAAUCAAUAUUGUUAAAAUGGCCAUACUGCCCAAAGCAAUUUAUAGAUUCAAUGCUAUUCCUUUUAAGCUACCAUUCAGAUUCUUCACAGAACUAAAAUAAAAAACAACAACAAAAAAAACUUUUAAAAUUCAUAUGGAACCAAAAAAUAGUCUGAAUAGCCAAGGCUAAGCUAAAAGAACAAAGCUGGAGGUAUCACACUACUCAACUUCAAACUAUACAACAGGCCUAUAGUAACCAAAACAGCAUGGUACUGAUACAAAAACAGGCAUAUAGACCAAUGGAACAGAAUAGAAAACUGAUAUGGUUGGCUCUGUGUCCCCCCCAAAUCUCAUCUCAAAUUGUAAUCCCCAUGUGUCAGAGGAGGGGCCUGGUGGGAGGUGACAGGAUCAUGGGGAUGGAUACCCCCUUGCUGUUCUCAUGACAGUGAGUGCUUAUAUAUCUGAUGGUUUAAAGGUGUGGCACUUCCCCUUUCACUCUCUCUCCUGCUGCCAUGUAAGAUGUGUCUUGCUUCCCCUUCACCUUCUGCCAUGAUUGUAAGUUUCCUGGUGCCUCCCCAGCCAUGCAGAACUGUGAGUCAAUUAAACCUCUUUUCUUUAUAAAUUCCCCAAUCUCAGGUAUGUCUUUAUAGCAAUGUGAGAAUGAACUAGUAAGAACUCAGAACUAAGACCACACACCCACAACUAUCUGAUCUUUGACAAACCUGACAAAAACAAGCAAUGGGGAAAGGAUUCCAUAUUCAAUAAAUGGUGCUAGAAUAACUGGUUAGCCAUAUGCAGAAGAUUGAAACUGGACCCCUUCCUUACACCACAUAUAAAAUUCAACUCAAGAUGAAUUAAAGACUUAAAUGUAAAACCAAAAACUAUAAAAACCCUAAAAGACAACCUAGGCAAUGCCAUCCAGGACAUAGGCACGGUCAAAGGUUUCGUAAUGAAAAUGCCAAAAGCAAUUGCAACAAAAGCAAAAGUUAACAAAUGGGAUCUAAGUAAAUUAAAGAGCUUCUG
rnacentral:lncRNA from 1 species